UUGUGCCAAGAGGGGCUCAGGUUGGAGGAAAUGGACUCAAAUUGUGCCAGGUUGGGGGAAAUGACCUCAAAUUGUGCCAGGGGAGGUUCAGAUUGAAGGAAAUGCCCUGAAAUUGUGCCAGGGGGGCUCAGGUUAUCCCAAAUUGUGCCAGGGGGGCUCAGGUUGGAGGAAAUGCCCUCAAAUUGUUCCAAGAGUGUUCAGGCUGUAGGAAAUGCCCUCAAAUUGUGCCAGGCAGGUUCAGGCUGUAGGAAAUGAUCCCAAAUUGUGCCAGGUUGGAGGAAAUGCCUCCAAAUUGUGCCAGGAGAGGCUCAGGUUGGGGGAAAUGAUCCCAAAUGGUGCCAGGUUGGAGGAAAUGACCCCAAAUUGUGCCAGGCAGGUUCAGGCUGGAGGAAAUGCCCUCAAAUUGUUCCAAGAGGGUACAGGUUGUGUGAAAUUACCUCAAAUUGUGCCAGGGGGGCUCAGGUUGGAGGAAAUGACCCCAAAUUGUGCCAGGUUGGAAGAAAUGACCCCAAAUUGUGCCGGGGGGGUCAGGUUGGACAUUUGGGGGGUCAAACCCUGGAGCAGCCGCCCUGGUGGGAUCCCCAUCCCUGGAAAUGCCCAGACCCACACGGAUGGGGGGGACGGGGUUAAUGCUGGGGUUAAUUUUAAAGCCUUCAUUAAAAUUUUAAUUUUAAUUAAUUUUAAUGCUGGGUCACCGGCUGGGUUUGCACCACAGCGGGAUGGGAGCACAAAACUGGCCAGGAAUCGGUUUCUGUGUCAGGAAUUGUUUCUGUGUCACAAAUCUGGGGUUUUGGUCACAAAUCUGUUUUUAUUGGUCACAAAUAUGCUUGUGUGUCACAAAUCUGUUUGUGUGUCACAAAUCUGGUUUUUGGUCACAAAUCUGUUUCUGUGUCACAAAUCUCAUUUUUUGGUCACAAAUCUGUUUCUCUGUCACAAAUCUGUUUUUCUGGUCACAAAUCUGGUUUUUUGGUCACAAAUCUGGGUUUUGGUCACAAAUCUGUUUCUGUGUCACAAAUCUCAUUUUUUGGUCACAAAUCUGGUUUUUGGUCACAAAUCUGUUUUUCUGGUCACAAAUCUGGUUUUUUGGUCACAAAUCUCUUUGUGUGUCACAAAUCUNCCCAAAUUGUGCCAGGAGAGGCUCAGGUUGGAGGAAAUGACCCCAAAUUGUGCCAGGUUGGAAGAAAUGCCUCCAAAUUGUGCCAGGGGGGCUCAGGUUGGAGGAAAUGGACUCAAAUUGUGCCAGGUUGGGGGAAAUUAUCCCAAAUUGUGCCAGGGGGGUUCAGGUUAUCCCAAAUUGUGCCAGGGCAGGCUCAGGUUGGAGGAAAUGACCCCAAAUUGUGCCAGGUUGGAGGAAAUGCCCUCAAACUGUGCCAGGUUGGAGGAAAUGACCUCAAAUUGUGCCAGGGGAGGCUCAGGUUGGAGGAAAUGCCUUCAAAUUGUGCCAGGUUGGAGGAAAUGCCCUCAAAUUGUGCCAGGUUGGAGGAAAUGCCCUCAAAUUGUUCCAAGAGAGUACAGGUUGGGUGAAAUUACCUCAAAUUGUGCCAGAGGAGGCUCAGGUUGGAGGAAAUGGACUCAAAUUGUGCCAGGUUGGGGGAAAUUAUCCCAAAUUGUGCCAGGGGGGCUCAGGUUAUCCCAAAUUGUGCCAGGGCAGGUUCAGGUUGGAGGAAAUGAACUCAAAUUGUGCCAGGUUGGAGGAAAUGACCCCAAAUUGUGCCAGGGGGGCUCAGGUUGGGGGAAAUGCCCUUAAAUUGUGCCGGGGGGGCUCAGGUUAUCCCAAAUUGUGCCACGAGAGGCUCAGGUUGGAGGAAAUGCCCUCAAAUUGUGCCAGGUUGGGGGAAAUGACCUCAAAUUGUGCCAGGUUGGAGGAAAUGACCUCAAAUUGUGCCAGGGGAGGUUCAGAUUGAAGGAAAUGCCCUGAAAUUGUGCCGGGGGGGCUCAGGUUAUCCCAAAUUGUGCCAGGAGAGGCUCAGGCUGGAGGAAAUGACCCCAAAUUGUUCCAAGAGGGUACAGGUUGGGUGAAAUUACCUCAAAUUGUGCCAGGGGGGCUCAGGUUAUCCCAAAUUGUGCCAGGGGAGGCUCAGGUUGGAGGAAAUGACCCCAAAUUGUGCCAGGUUGGGGGAAAUUAUCCCAAAUUGUGCCAGGGGGGCUCAGGUUAUCCCAAAUUGUGCCAGGGCAGGAUCAGGUGGGAGGAAAUGCCCUCAGAUUGUUCCAGGUUGGAGGAAAUGACCCCAAAUUGUUCCAAGAGUGUUCAGGCUGUAGGAAAUGCCCUCAAAUUGUGCCAGGUUGGAGGAAAUGCCCUCAAAUUGUGCCAGGAGAGGCUCAGGUUGGAGGAAAUG
ensembl:lncRNA